rfam:Stegodyphus mimosarum contig19387, whole genome shotgun sequence.
GCCUUCGUGGUGUAGUGGUCAGCACGCUGGGUGCGUAUUCUAGAGGUCUGUGGUUCGAAUCCCAGCGAAGGCU